UUUUUCACGCCCUGUGAAAACAAGGCGGCCGACGGUUUUCCUUGAUUAAACAAAUAAUAAGUUUACCGGCCCUUCUAGGAAAGGAGGGAUAUUACAUAACUAGCUCCCUUGCGUGCAGCAAAAUGAAUUACAAUGGUGUUUAGGUGGAAUAUCAAUGAGAAAUGGAUACCAAACUCAAAAUCAAAUUGGAAACAUUUUUUUAAGUAAUAAAUAUAGUCAAUUUUUAACUAGACACUUUUUAAUGUGUUGAGACAGCCGAGUGUAUUUUUCGUUAUGAAUCACUAACUUCUAGAAACUUUUAAGGUCACACGUCACAUGACAUGCUGAGAAAGGAUAAAAAAAGAACGAUCAAGAUCGCUUAUCACCAGUGAGAUAUUUUACUGAAUUUAGAAGAUCCCAGUUUAUUACAAUGUUAGGAAGCGAAACUAUGUCAAAAGGUUGGAAUCCAAUUGUGGUGGUCUGGGACCGAGUUCAACUAUAAAAAUAACUGGGUCUGGACGUAACUGUAAACAUGAACUGAAAUCUCCUCCAAAACUGGGCAAAGGUGGUGUUCAUACCGAAAAUAGGGUAAAGUGACCCGACACUAUCCAAAUCCUACAGAUUAAUCAGCCUAACAUCCUUUCUAUUGAAAGCACUUGAAAAGCUGAUAGACAACCAUAUAAGAAUGACAACGCUGAUAAAUAAAUCACUACGUAACUGUCAACAUGCAUACAGAACAGGAAAAUCAGCAGAAACUACUCUGUACCAGCUAACUAGUGACCUGAGCGAAACACUACAAGUAAAGGAAAUAGCAAUCUGCGGGUCCCUCGAUAUUGAAGGAGCUUUUGAUAAUUCUCUCCGGAAUCUCAUGCAUCCAUGUAGGUCUCUCUAGAGAAAAAACAUGUACAUCAGACCACAUCUAGAUGGAUUGGAAAAUGUUAAGAACCAGAAAAUAACAUGUAUAUUCAUUAAAAUAAAGAAACUAACAGGUAUUUGUAACUCCAGAC